AGCGAACGCUGGCGGCAGGCUUAACACAUGCAAGUCGAGCGGGCACUUUCGGGUGUCAGCGGCGGACGGGUGAGUAACGCGUGGGAACGUGCCCUCUGGUUCGGAAUAACUCAGGGAAACUUGAGCUAAUACCGGAUACGCCCUUUUGGGGAAAGGCUUGCUGCCGGAGGAUCGGCCCGCGUCUGAUUAGCUAGUUGGUGAGGUAACGGCUCACCAAGGCGACGAUCAGUAGCUGGUCUGAGAGGAUGAUCAGCCACACUGGGACUGAGACACGGCCCAGACUCAUACGGGAGGGAGCAGGGGGGAAUAUUGGACAAUGGGCGCAAGCCUGACCCAGCCAGGCCGGGGGAGGUAAGAAGGAUUUAGGGUUGUAAAGCUCUUUUAUCCGGGAAGAUAAGGACGGUACCGGAGGAAUAAGCCCCGGCUAACUUCGU
rnacentral:rRNA from 1 species